rnacentral:rRNA from 1 species
GACGUAGGGGGCUAGCGUUGUCCGGAAUCAUUGGGCGUAAAGAGCGCGUAGGCGGUCCGGUAAGUCCGCUCUGAAAGUCCGGGGCUCAACCCCGGGAGGCGGGCGGAUACUGUCGGGCUAGAGUCCGGAAGAGGCGAGUGGAAUUCCUGGUGUAGCGGUGAAAUGCGCAGAUAUCAGGAGGAACACCGAUGGCGAAGGCAGCUCGCUGGGACGGUACUGACGCUGAGGCGCGAAAGCGUGGGGAGCAAACAGG